rnacentral:rRNA from 1 species
AGAGUUUGAUCAUGGCUCAGAUUGAACGCUGGCGGCAUGCCUUACACAUGCAAGUCGAACGGCAGCACGGGAGCAAUCCUGGUGGCGAGUGGCGAACGGGUGAGUAAUAUAUCGGAACGUGCCCAGUCGUGGGGGAUAACGCAGCGAAAGCUGUGCUAAUACCGCAUACGAUCUACGGAUGAAAGCGGGGGAUCGCAAGACCUCGCGCGAUUGGAGCGGCCGAUAUCAGAUUAGCUAGUUGGUGGGGUAAAAGCCCACCAAGGCGACGAUCUGUAGCUGGUCUGAGAGGACGACCAGCCACACUGGAACUGAGACACGGUCCAGACUCCUACGGGAGGGAGCAGUGGGGAAUUUUGGUCAAUGGGCGCAAGCCUGAUCCAGCAAUGCCGCGUGCAGGAUGAAGGCCUUCGGGUUGUAAACUGCUUUUGUACGGAACGAAACGGUCCUUUCUAAUACAGGGGGCUAAUGACGGUACCGUAAGAAUAAGCACCGGCUAACUACGUGCCAGCAGCCGCGGUAAUACGUAGGGUGCGAGCGUUAAUCGGAAUUACUGGGCGUAAAGCGUGCGCAGGCGGUUAUAUAAGACAGAUGUGAAAUCCCCGGGCUCAACCUGGGACCUGCAUUUGUGACUGUAUAGCUAGAGUACGGUAGAGGGGGAUGGAAUUCCGCGUGUAGCAGUGAAAUGCGUAGAUAUGCGGAGGAACACCGAUGGCGAAGGCAAUCCCCUGGACCUGUACUGACGCUCAUGCA